CCUACGGGGGGCAGCAGUGAGGAAUAUUGGUCAAUGGACGAGAGUCUGAACCAGCCAAGUAGCGUGAAGGAUGACUGCCCUAUGGGUUGUAAACUUCUUUUAUAUGGGAAUAAAAUGUUCCACGUGUGGGAUUUUGUAUGUACCAUAUGAAUAAGGAUCGGCUAACUCCGUGCCAGCAGCCGCGGUAAUACGGAGGAUCCGAGCGUUAUCCGGAUUUAUUGGGUUUAAAGGGAGCGUAGGUGGAUUGUUAAGUCAGUUGUGAAAGUUUGCGGCUCAACCGUAAAAUUGCAGUUGAAACUGGCAGUCUGGAGUACAGUAGAGGUGGGCGGAAGUCGUGGUGUAGCGGUGAAAUGCUUAGAUAUCACGAAGAACUCCGAUUGCGAAGGCAGCUCACUGGACUGCAACUGACGCUGAGGCACGAAAGUGUGGGGAACAAACAGGAUUAGAUACCCUUGUAGUC
rnacentral:rRNA from 1 species